AUUCUUGGGAGGACAGCGACCUUCAGCCCCACAAGACAUUAAGAACUGACACUCCACCACAACCUCCAAGAACACAUCAGUUUCAGAACUCAAGGCAGCAUGAUUCAGCCACGGACAGAGAGGAAUGUGUUCCAGUCCCAGAAGACCAGAAGGAUGGCAGAUCCAGGAGGCGGGAACUCUCUGUUCCACCUCAACAGUGAGUCUGUGCUGGCGUCCAGCUAUCACCUACACUGUGCCUAACAGCGCCCCCUCAAUUGCAGCCUCAACUGAAAGGACUGGCAGGCAGAACGAAUCUGCUGCUCAUGGAAUUCUCCAGAUUACCAGGUCUAAAAAUACCUGGAGGUGGUAAUUUGAGCACCAAUCAGCCACAUGGUAACUGAGUACAUGUUAAUGUGCCAAGCACUGUCUGAAAUACUCUAUUUCAUGAAGGGCAGGUUUUUGUUACCAUUUUUAACAGUGAAGGAACAGAAAGGUUUAACAACUUGUCCAUAGUCACACGUUCUAUGAUGCAACUGGGACAUUAACCCAGGGCGCACGGUCUCCACCACUAUGUGAGAUCUAAUAAUAGUCAUGACUAACAUCUACUGAAUGCUAACAAAGUGCCAGGCACUACUGUACUUCUCCCCAACCCAACGCUAUGUUUUUAAAUCCCCCAUUUUUAAGGGAAGGAUGCCAAGUAAAAUAAGGCUGGCUGGCUGGCUGGAUAUGCAUAGAAUUAUAUACUUUGGUCCUUAGCUUGAUCUCAAGGAUAUCUCUUUCCUUAACAUAGGCAGGAAAAUGCAACAGAAGCGAAAGAAUUGGUUUGGUCAGGGGAGAAAGAAUUCAGUGGGAGUAAAGAUAAGAAAAACAGAGAAGCUAAAAAAGGUAGAAACACUGAUAUAUCAACCAACCAAAAUAUAUGAUGAUUAUUCUGGGCUUGGAUGUCUUUCAAUAGUUAAUCUCCAAGGACACAGAGUUUUAUGAGAGGGCUGAGGAUGAUCCUCUAAAGUGGUUAAAACAAACAAAAAACAGCAACACACCCAAAAAACCACCACUUUAUUUCUAACAAGUUGCAUUUAAUAUAGGAUUUCACUAUAAUAAAGGUAGAAUUCUAAGAGCAUAGAGAACAUUAGCUACUUGGGGUACAUUGAGGGCAAAAUGACCAAAAAUGCCACUGGAGGAUCACUAAAGAGAAAA